rnacentral:tRNA from 3 species
GCCCACGUAGCUCAGUAGGCAGAGCGCGUCCUUGGUAAGGACGAGGUCAGCAGUUCGAUCCUGCUCGUGGGCUCCA